GUACUCAUCCUGGACAGCAGCUCAGCUGGGUCUUGGUUCAGGCCCUGAGAAGCCCACAGCAGAGUUCAACAGGGCUCUAAGCACAUCAGAUGGACCACACAAGCCAGCUGUGGUGAGUGAAAAAUGCCAGGUGCCAGGUUGGUGCUAUGUAAACCUUGUGAAGUGGAUGAGUCUGGUCGGGUGGAGAAUCAGACUGAUGCUUCUCUGAAGUCCUUGAGGCUGCCGAGGUGUCACCCUCGAUAGGAUGGAAGCUCUGCAGUGUAACUGAGUCUGGCUGCUUGUCCUCAGUAGGCUCCUGUCCUGUCUGGCGUAGCUCAGCUGUCCACUCUGAUGGAAGUCCAUCUGUCUGAACAGCCAACGGGUCAGCUGUCCAACCAGACCCUGCUCCCCGUCAGCUCUCCUAAUCACUCACCUGCCGGCUUCUCCUUUUCCCUUCCCCGUGUUUCUCAUGAAACCAACUUGUGUUGGCUGCUUGGACUUGAAAUGAACUGAGAGCCGUCUUUCCAAAACCAGGCUUUAUUGAUUUUGUUCGCUUCCUUUUCUUGAAGUUGGGGUCUCGCUCUGUAGCCCUGGCUGGUCUGAAACUCAAAGAGAGCCAUUUGCUCUGCCUCCUGAGUGCUGGGAUCAAAGGCACAUGCCACCGCCCUUGGCCUUCAUUCACCUUUUUAUGGACACAGUUGGAUGAAGGGUGACACUCUUAGGAUCCUCCUGAACAGACCAUCUGAUGUAAUCUUUGGAGAUCAACUAGAACAACACACAGGCUUCUUCUGGUCAGAGCCCACAGAACUCUACAGUAGGCUGCCUGCUCUCCUCUGCCUCUCCCCUCUUGCUUGCUGUUCCCCAGCUACUGCAUCAUUUCCUGUUGGUAUUCAGGCCUGCUGAGGAUACCCCUAGGUUGGGACUUUCGUCUUUGCUUUUUCCUUUGGGCACCCAGUUCUCAUAUAUGGUUCUGGUUGCCUUCUCCGGUCCUCUGAGCUAAUACAUGUCUCUGCACCAAUGAUCCCCUAACCAUUCUUUCUAUUUUCUCUCUUUCACAGCAUUUGUUGGUGCCUAAAAUGAUCUCUUAUGUGUUUGUUUUCUAUUUCUACCCGUGCUAUGCACUAGAUUAACGUCCAGCCAAAUAAAGACCUAGAUUUGGCUUGGAGCAACUCGGUUAAAAAUAUUUCCUUUGCUAUAUACUCAGGAUGGACAGGGUAAAGACUUUGGCCAAGGAGAUAGAAAUGGAAAUGGCUGGGUGAAGCAUCUCUAAAGGCUAAUUAAAGAGAAAAGCCAUCUGGGAUA
rnacentral:lncRNA from 1 species